ACUGAAAGCAGAUAUGGUUCCGUUCUGAUCUAGGCUUCCCCAGAAAGCACUAAGCAGACUUUUUGUCCCAGCAAAACUCCUUUUAUUAAACGAAGGUGAAUUUCUUGCAUUCACCUUCAGCCAAAGGCCCGGCAAAGAAUUUUUCAAGGGUCUUAAU